rnacentral:lncRNA from 1 species
GAACCUGCUUUGACGUCUGGCAAACAUUUCCUAUGGGACAAGUUCUGAGCUCAACUGCAAGACAAGAGGCUCAAAGCAAGAGCUCCUAAGACACUUGGAAUUUCCUGUGACGUGAGCGAUAAGGUCUUUUGCUACGUUGAUUAGGCAAUAGGGAAAGACACUUCCUCCUCGGAACUGUCACUUUUAUGCUUCUGAUGACCAUCUGGCCAUUGAAGAACCUUGGAGCCAACAGCUGCAAGGGAGACUUCUGUCAGCAUCAUCCAUGGUGCAAAUUGAAAACUCCAGCUGGUCCUACUGUAGGCGGGAUAAACACACACAGCUGAUAAUAAGUAAAUUCAGAACUUGAAACAGGCUGCAGAGAUACUUCAUAGCUCUCUAUUUGCUCAUGGUGUAGGCUCUUUCUGCUAUUUUCCCGUGGUUUUGAGCUUGGACAUAAUUUUCAUAUUUUAUCUUGCAAUCUAAAAGUUGUAUUUCAUUGGGAAUUAAGCAGUCUCCGAAUCUGUGGAAAAUAAUAAUUGGAAAAAAAAAUUUGGCUUCCCAUUUUCCAGAAAGUGUGUGCUGCCAUGUCCAUUUCUGGCCCAACAUCUCUCCAAAGAGCUGAGCAUGUCAUACAAAUGAGUCAGUCCCCAGGCUGAAGUGACAAAGAUGUGGACGCUCUGCCCCAGAAUGCGUUCACAUUGCUGCAUCUGGCAGAGUGAGGGGCAGCUGGGGUUGGAAACAGAACGGCCUGCUGUGAUGCAGGCUGAGCAAGAGGAGGGAGCCUGCCAGCCAAGGCAGCUCCCAGCAGCCUUGCGCCUCAACACCUGGCCCCCAGACCAGCACCUCCAGCUCACCCAGAAGCUUGUUACAAAUGCAGCAUCUCUGACCCCAGCCCACUCUUCUGAGUCAGAAUCUACCUUUGACAAGACCCCAGGGCGUUUGGUGCACACACACUCCCUUAGCGUAGUUGUGCCUGACAAAGAGCCAGUGGGGCAACCGAAUGGCCUCAUUGAGAAGGUUCACACAGAAGCUGGCUCCUUGCCUUGCCCUCCAGCUCAGUUUCAGUGAUGCUCUCUAGUUGUGUGGAAAGGAGCUCCCAAAACCAUCAUCAUCAGUGUCAUGUCUUCUCUCUGUAAACACCAUUCAUCACCUGGACUGUCAGAAAGGCAGGUUCCUGGGCCGAGCGCAGGCCUACUGAAUCACAAGCUCCAGGGUGGGCCGCCCUGCAGAGGUGAGCAUGCCCUCCCGGGCUCUGGGCUCUGACGCACAGCAUGUGAGACAAGAAUGAGGCGUCCUCCAUGGCUCUGAUCACACCCUCACCAUCCGCAUCUCUCCUCCUGGGCCUUCCAGGUCCUUCCGAAGAGCCAACCCUUUCCUAGACCCUGCAACCACAGCUUUACCCUCAGGGAUACAGCUAUCCCAAACCUUAUCCUGACAGGGUAGUAGAAAUAUACUUUUAAGCCAAGCUAAGCUAAAUUUGUAGAAUUUUGCCACAAAGAAGUUGCCGCAGGCAUCAUGAUCAUGAGGCUAAAAGUCAUGCAAGGGGAUGAAAAGCUGGAAUGUCAAAGGGGUCCAAGAUGCUAAAAGCAUUAAGAAUUUGUAGUCUCUACCAACCUCUAGACUUCUCGUUAGGGGAGAUAAAUAAAUCGCCAUUUGGUCCCACCACUAUAAUGGAAUUCCUGUUGCAUGAAGCCAAUCGCCUGCCUAGUUGGUGCAAAUCUGAAUAAGCUAACGUAUGGCAACAAAAGGAACAAAGAGUUA